rfam:Parcubacteria group bacterium RIFCSPHIGHO2_01_FTLL_47_10b rifcsphigho2_01_scaffold_18788, whole genome shotgun sequence.
GGGGGUGUAGCUCCAAUUGGCAGAGCAGAGGUCUCCAAAACCUCGUGUUACAGGUUCGAACCCUGUCACCCCCG